rnacentral:rRNA from 1 species
GAUGAACGCUGGCGGCGUGCCUAAUACAUGCAAGUCGAGCGAACGGACGAGAAGCUUGCUUCUCUGAUGUUAGCGGCGGACGGGUGAGUAACACGUGGAUACCCUACCUAUCAGACUGGGAUAACUUCGGGAAACCGGAGCUAACACCGGAUGAUAUUUUGAACCGCAUGGUUCAUAAGUGAAAUACGGUCUUGCUGUCACUUAUAGAUGGCUCCGCGCUGUAUGAGCUAGUUGGUAAGGUAACGGCUUACCAAGGCAACGAUGCAUAGCCGACCUGAGAGGGGGAUCGGCCACCCUGGAACUGAAACACGGUCCAGACUCCUACGGGAGGCAGCAGUAGGGAAUCUUACGCAAUGGGCGAAAGCCUGACGGAGCAACGCCGCGUGAGUGAUGAAGGUCUUCGGAUCGUAAAACUCUGUUAUUAGGGAAGAACAUAUGUGUAAGUAACUGUGCACAUCUUGACGGUACCUAAUCAGAAAGCCACGGCUAACUACGUG